rnacentral:tRNA from 1 species
AAUAAGGUAGGAUAAAAAGUCUAUUAGGUUCAUACCCUAAAGGUGUUUUCUCUUGUUA